UACGUAGGGGGCAAGCGUUGUCCGGAAUUAUUGGGCGUAAAGAGCGCGUAGGCGGUCCGAUAAGUCGGCUGUGAAAGUCAAGGGCUCAACCCUUGAAAGCCGGCCGAUACUGUCGGACUAGAGUCCGGAAGAGGCAAGUGGAAUUCCCGGUGUAGCGGUGAAAUGCGCAGAUAUCAGGAGGAACACCGGUGGCGAAGGCGCCACUCUGGGCCGAAACUGACGCUGAGGAGCGAAAGCGUGGGUAGCAAACAGG
rnacentral:rRNA from 1 species